UACGUAGGGGGCAAGCGUUGUCCGGAAUCAUUGGGCGUAAAGCGUGCGCAGGCGGUUUUGUAAGUCAGAUGUGAAAUCCCCGGGCUUAACCUGGGAACUGGCGUUUGAAACCUACAAGGCUAGAGUGUGGCAGAGGGGGGUGGAAUUCCGACGUGUAGCAGUGGAAAUGCGUAGAGAUGUGGAGGAACACCGAUGGCGAAGGCAGCCCCCUGGGUUAACACUGGACGCUCAGGCACGAAAGCGUGGGGAGCAAACGGG
rnacentral:rRNA from 1 species